ACUAGUAGGAGGUGUGGCCUUGUUGAAGGAAGUUUGUUACUGCCAGGAUGAACUUUGAAGUCUCCAGUGCUCAAGCUAUAGCCAGUGUGGAUACAGUUUCCUUCUUCUGCCUUUAGAUCAAGAUGGAGACUACCCGGCUCCUUCAUCACCAUGUCUGCCUGCAUGCUGCCAUGCUUCCUGCCAUGAUAAUAAUGGACUAAACCUCUGAAAUGUUAUCCAAAAAGAAGAAUGAAAGAGAAAAAAAGGAAGCCAUAUAAGAACCGUAAAAUUAUUUCCCUGAGUCUCAGGACACCCUGGUGGACCUUCAUCCUCCUGCCUCGUCUCUGCCCAUCGUCAUCAGACCAGAUUCUGAAACAUACAGGAAUGUGCAUCCUGAACCAUACAGAUCUGCUGACCCAGAAUGACACAGCCAAAGGAUACCCAUCAGAGACCUGCCACACCAAUACCAUUGUGAAUAAGCCCCC
rnacentral:lncRNA from 1 species